CACUCUCUGUCUCUCAAAAAUAAAUAACUGUAAAAAAAAAUUAAAAAAAAAGAAUUUUCCAUCUUCAUUUUUUAGGAAUUGUUCUUCUACUUCUGGGCCUUUUGCCAGAUCAUUGUCCUCUGUCACUCAAAAGUCCAAGAGGCUUAAAAAAAAAAAUCACAAAAUGUAUUUCCGUGUUUCUAAUUCUUUGUUUUCAGAAUAAAACUCAGUCCUGCAAAGCAAGAUACAUAGCAUUUGGUGACCUUAGUCCUCCCAGUCAAUCAUUGGCUCAGGUGUGUGUGACGUAAAUGCCACAAGCCCAAUGGGAAACAUUCACGUUCUCGUGGAAAUGAAAGCAAUUGACUUGUCAGUUUUAAGUGUUUCUUGCAUGGUUCAACUUUGCAGAGGACAGUGGCAGGAAAAAAAUGAAGAGAGGCAAACCAAGAGGGAGUGGAAUUCUGAAAGGAGCUAAGAAGGACUUCGCCUUUGAGGUAUGUCCAUCCCGGACUGCUCCCCCAGCAGAACCAGCCUGCAGCAUGAUGGCCAACCAAGAAGAGAAAACUAAGUCAGACUAACCAGCCACAAAGAACACGGGUAGAACAGGCAGUGACCAAGAUGAUUUUUGAGGGGAGGGAGAUAUUCCUUGGAGGACAGGAUAAAAGGUUAGUCUUUACUAUUUUUGGUACCCCCCCCCCCACUGCUGAGCACAGUGACCCAUGUGCUGCGGAUCCCAGUCAAGCCUGCUGUCGCCGACAUUAAGUUCAGACUGUGACUUCCCAGGGAAGAAUCUCCCUGACUAAGAGAGUGGGUCAGGGUGGAAGGUCCCUUGAGUCACCAAACUCUUCUGUUGAUGAUAGCAAAGCCAAGACCAGACGUGCCAGUGAUGCUGAUUUUACGUGCAUCGGUCACUGACACAUUUGCUGGGUUUCCAUAAAAUGCGAGAAAGUGAUCACAGACCGACUGCUCAUAAAUCCGCCAAACCCCCUACAGGCAGAGGGCCUUGAGAGAAAGAAGCUAAGGGCACAGCUGCCAACUGAGGAGUGAGGCAAAUAGCUCUUUGAAGAGGCCCACGGCCACACCAUUCUCCCAGGGUCCCCUGGAGAAGUGAGGGGUGAGGCUGGCUGGCUGUGUGAGGAGACGUCUCCCAGCAGGCUGAGAACGGAAGGGUUGUGGACAUGCCCGAGGCUACCCACAGAGGAAUUUGGAAGUGAAUAAAUAGUCACACCUGCACAUUCCCUUAGAAGAUUUUUCACAGCUUGAAUUGGCUACUAAAAGGUAGGCACCCCCCUUUUAAAGAACGUUUAAAAAAAACAAGGAUGCAGUUGCUUUCUGUGAAAGUAUGCUUGCUGUUGAUGUUCAGCUCUCUAUAAACGUAUAUUAAGUAAAUGUUACUACCAUAUGUGAGUAUGGUAGUGAGUAUGUGAGUAUUCUAUUAGCUGUUAAGUUAAAUUAGCUGUUAAGUUAAAACCAAAAUGCCUGUCCCUAUGUAGAAGGUGUGGAAAGAAACACAGUUUCUUUGGGAUUUGGUCCUUCAGUAUGGCAGAGUGCAGAGUUGAAGUAUUUGAAGAGUUCAGGCAUUGGUAUAUUAUGCAGGUACCAGUUGGAGACCCACAUAUGUCUUUUCUUU